rnacentral:rRNA from 1 species
AGAACGAACGUUGGCGGCGUGGAUGAGGCAUGCAAGUCGCACGUGAAAGUCGCAAGACGAGUAAAGUGGCGGACGGGCGAGUAUUACGUAGUCAAGCUACCCUGGAGACGGGGGAUAACCACGGGAAACCGUGGCUAAUACCCGAUGGUCCUGCGAGAACGCAUGUUCAUGCAGGUAAAUGGAGGGGAUCCUACGGGACCUUCUGCUUUGGGGAGGUGAUUACGGCCCAUCAGUUAGUUGGCGGGUAAAGGCCCACAAGACGAUGACGGGUA